rnacentral:rRNA from 1 species
UAGGGAAUCUUCGGCAAUGGGGGGAACCCUGACCGAGCAACGCCGCGUGAGUGAAGAAGGUUUUCGGAUCGUAAAGCUCUUUUGUUAAGGAAGAACGAGUGUGAGAAUGGAAAGUUCAUGCUGUGACGGUACUUAACCAGAAAGGGACGGCUAACUACGUGCCAGCAGCCGCGGUAAUACGUAGGUCCCGAGCGUUGUCCGGAUUUAUUGGGCGUAAAGCGAGCGCAGGCGGUUAGAAAAGUCUGAAGUGAAAGGCAGUGGCUCAACCAUUGUAGGCUUUGGAAACUGUUUAACUUGAGUGCAGAAGGGGAGAGUGGAAUUCCAUGUGUAGCGGUGAAAUGCGUAGAUAUAUGGAGGAACACCGGUGGCGAAAGCGGCUCUCUGGUCUGUAACUGACGCUGAGGCUCGAAAGCGUGGGGAGCGAACAGG